AUAUUUUUAUAUUAACAAUUUCAGAUGAAGCAAGAUCAGAAGCAACUUUCAGAUUUACAGUUCCCAAUUUCAGCAAACUCAAAGAUACUUUGCUCAGUCCACCUACAUUUGUGAGAAACCUUCCAUGGAAAAUAAUGGUAAUGCCACGAACAAACCAAAGUCAGAGUCGAGAAUUAACGAAAGGAUUAGGAUUCUUUUUACAAUGUAACGGAGAAUCAGAGUCGUCAACUUGGUCCUGUAAUGCAGCAGCAGAAUUAAGACUUAUUGGUCAGAAAGAGGGAACAGAAGAAAAUUUUGUAAGAAAAAUUCAACAUCUAUUCUACAGUAAAGAGAAUGAUUGGGGA